rnacentral:rRNA from 1 species
UACAGAGGGUGCAAGCGUUGUUCGGAAUUAUUGGGCGUAAAGGGAGUGUAGGCUGUGAGGUAAGUCUUCUGUGAAAUCUACGGGCUUAGCCUGUAACGUGCAGAGGAAACUGCUUCGCUUGAGUGUCGGAGAGGAUAGGGGAAUACCCGGUGUAGAGGUGAAAUUCGUAGAGAUCGGAUGGAACACCAGUGGCGAAGGCGCCUAUCUGGCUGACAACUGACGCUGAGACUCGAAAGCAUGGGGAGCAAACAGG